GCAGUUAAAGCUCGUAGUUGGAUCUAGGGACGCGCAUUUCAAGCGCCCGUGUCGUCGGGUCAAACCGGCGACUGCGUUGGCGUUGCGGGCUCGGUCCGUCGGUGGACCCUCGUGGUCUUAAUCGGCGUGUCAACCGGCCCGCCCGUCCCCUCCUUCUGGAUUCCCGUUCCUGCUAUUGAGUUAGUGGGGACGUCACAGGGGGCUCAUCGUCGUCAUGCAAAUGGCGGCGGUGGGUCCCUGGGGCCCAGAUCGUUUACCGUGAAAAAAUUAGAGUGUUCAAAGCAGGCAGAUCCAAUUUUCUGCCACCGAAUACAUUAGCAUGGGAUAAUGGAAUAGGACCCUGUCCUCCUAUUUUCAGUUGGUUUUGGCAGCGCGAGGACUAGGGUAAUGAUUAAUAGGGAUAGUUGGGGGCAUUAAUAUUUAAUUGUCAGAGGUGAAAUUCUUGGAUUUAUGAAAGAUUAACUUCUGCGAAAGCAUCUGCCAAGGAUGUUUUCAUUAAUCAAGAACGAAAGUUAGGGGAUCGAAGACGAUCAGAUACCGUCGUAGUCUUAACCAUAAACGAUGCCGACCAGCGAUUAGGAGACGUUGAAUACAAAACACCACCAUCGGCGCGGUCGUCCUUGGCGUCUGUCCCUUUCAACGGGGGCAGGCGCGAGGGCGGUUUAGCCCGGUGGCACCGGUGAAUGACUCCCCUAGCAGCUUGUGAGAAAUCAUAAGUCUUUGGGUUCCGGGGGGAGUAUGGUCGCAAGGCUGAAACUUAAAGGAAUUGACGGAAGGGCACCACCA
rnacentral:rRNA from 1 species